rnacentral:rRNA from 1 species
AGAGUUUGAUCAUGGCUCAGGAUGAAUGCUGGCGGUGUGCCUUAGGCAUGCAAGUCGAACGAGAAACCCCUUCGGGGGUGAACAGUGGCAGACGGGUGAGUAACGCGUAGGAAUCUACCCUUUAGUGGGGAAUAGCCUUCCGAAAGGAAGGGUAAUACCGCAUGUGGCCUUCGGGCUAAAGCCUUCGGGCGCUAAAGGAGGAGCCUGCGUCCUAUCAGGUAGUUGGUGAGGUAAUAGCUCACCAAGCCAAUGACGGGUAGCCGAUGUGAGAGCAUGAUCGGCCACAAGGUUACUGAGACACGGAACCUACACCUACGGGUGGCAGCAACCGGGAAUAUUGCGCAAUGGACGAAAGUCUGACGCAGCGACACCGCGUGUGGGAUGAAGCUUUUAGGAGCGUAAACCACUGUGGCGAGGGAUGAAAUUUGACAGUACCUCGCUAGAAAGCACCUGCUAACUACGUGCCAGAAGCCUCGGUAAUACGUAGGGUGCGAGCAUUAUCCGGAUUUACUGGGCGUAAAGCGUCCGUCGGCGGUUUUUCAAGUCUUUUGUUUAAGUCCACGGCUCAACUGUGGGAAAGCAAGGGAAACUGAAUAACUUGAGUCUGUUAGAGGAAGUUGGAAUUCUUGGUGGAGGGGUGAAAUCCGUAGAUAUCAAGAGGAACGCCAAUUGCGAAGGCAGGCUUCUAUGACAGUACUGACGCUCAGGGACGAAAGCUAGGGUAGCAAAAGGGAUUAGAGACCCCUGUAGUCCUAUGCCGUAAACGAUCCUUGCUAGCUGUUCUGAAUUUUUAUUUGGAGUGGCGUAAGCUAACGCGUUAAGCAAGGCGCCUGGGGAGUACGACCGCAAGGUUAAAACUCAAAGGAAUUGACGGGGGAGCGCACAACCGGUGGAGUAUGUGGUUUAAUUCGAUACAAAGCGAAAAACCUUACCCAGAUUUGACAUAUACCUGCAGUCCUGUGGAAACAUGGGAUGUCUUCGAGAGUGGUAUACAGGUGAUGCAUGGCUGUCGUCAGCUCGUGUCGUGAGACGUCCUCUUAAGUGAGGUAACGAGCGCAACCCUUAUCGUAUGUUACAAGUGUCAUACGAGACUGCCUUUGCUAUGCAAGGGAGGAAGGAGAGGAUGAUGUCAAGUCAGCAUGUCCCUUACAUCUGGGGCUACACACAUUCUACGAUGGAGAUGACAACGGGUAGCGACGGAGUAAUCCUAAGCCAAUCCUCUAAACAUCUCCUCAGUUCGGAUUGAGGGCUGCAAUUUGCCCUCAUGAAGCCGGAAUCGGUAGUAAUCGCAAAUCAGCACGUUGCGGUGAAUACGUUCUCGCUCCUUGUACACGCUGCCCGUCAAGCCAGCAAAGUCGGCAAUGCCCGAAGCGGGUGACCGUAACCACUUUUGUGGAGCGGCCCUUCUACGGUAAGGCCGGCAAUGAGGACUAAGUCGUAACAA